rnacentral:lncRNA from 1 species
AACGACUGCGGAGCCGAUGAUUUCACCGUCGGUUUAUAAAACAACCACGUAUGUGUAUGUAUGUAUAUUGUCAAUUAUUACUCUCUCUGUUCCAUUAAUACUAUAUUACCAGCGUAAUCUUGAUCGGAGAUCUGAUACGUUCAAUCUCUGCCAAGGUUCUGUUGCUGCUUACAAAGAGGCUAUGACGACUCUUAUUUUCUAGAGUGCAAGAUCCAAACGUUAAAGGAACAAUUUCGAUUGUUUGGCGGGGCAAUGUGAAUAUUUUUCCAUCUCUUGUAGAUAGAUCCCAUCAUUGCAGCCACAUUCGCUUUGUUCCUUUUGUUGUUUGAUUAAAGGCGAAUCUGAGCCUCACUUCAUCUCUUUCUUUCUCUCUCUUUUUAAUACAUUGCAAAAUUUUAGCUCAUUAGUUUGAGAACGAGGUUUUGCUCUCAGUGAGGUUGAGGGUUUCAGGGUGGUGAUAAGAAGCGAAGCCUGUGAUUUGUCCCUUAUUUUGCCAACAGCCCCUUCUCCCUGUACAUACAGAGAGGCCAAUGCAUAAAUUUUACCCUGAACACUGCACUUUUACCCUUUUUUUGGAUGGAAUGAUUAGAAGGUUUAGUAACUUAACGAGGCUAUGAUGAUAUUAUCAGUGACCUAAAAUCAGACUAGAAAAGAAACACCCAUCGUCUGGUGGGGGUAGCCUUCGGAAGUAGUGGCUUAAUUUCACUCUUCCCUGAGGUUAGAUAACCUUUAGCAGUCCUUAAAUACAGGUUUUACCCUGGUAGCUCUUGGCUGCAGCCAUGAUGUGGUGGUGUUUCUUUCUUGUUUGAUACAAAGGCUUAUAUGAUCCGAGCCUCCAUUUCUCCAAAUCUCUCUCAUUUUAGGUUCUGCUUGUUUCCGGGGAUAUAUUUCAAUCAAAGGGUGAGGCUUCGCUCUUGGAGAGCUACUCUGAUUGAUUGCAGAGCUGACCCUUGUCAAUAUCUAUAUCCAUCUUUCUAUCAUAUCUGUCUUUCUCUUGUGUGUCUUUGCAUGGCUGAGAUGAUGCUGUUAUUUUUCUAGUGAAAAUUAGACAAUUGAAGGAACACUAGUGACCAUUGGGUGGGUGACUCGUGAGCUUCUGACAUUGAGCUCUUUUGUUGCAGCCAUGGUUGUCAUGUUCACCUUUUAUAUGCUUAAAUCAAGGUCUGACUUUAGUUUUACAUUUUGUGAACAUUGUUGGUUAUUUUUAAUCCUUGUUUCUUAAUCUUGCAAUGGUGAGUGAGAUAAUUUUAGAACCAUGCUUUGCAAUUGUCAAUUUUAGUCUGGUUCAAGAACUAUCAAUUCAAGUUUUAGAGAGAUGAAAAGGCAACGAUAAAAAUGUGAGGGAUUUAUGCUGCUAAGUAAUGAGAAUUGCUGUGGCAGGUAUCACUCUUGAUGCUUUUAAUGUAUCAAUCAACUAUCAAGUGAAUAGGAUGCAUUCUAUUGUGUCUGGUUUGAUUUAUUGUACACGGAUGUUUUGCAUGUGUGUGGUGGUAGUGGUGAUCCUAAAAGCACAAAAUUGUGAGAUUGAGAAGUAAUUGUGAAUGCUGCUUGUUAAUUUUUUUAAUCUUUUAAUCAAAAAACUAGUGAGAAAUGGUAUUUAUGGUUUUGUCUUAAUGUCAAAGCAUUAUGUUAAAGUAUGUGCAAAAAUAUAUGAUGCACUUGAAAAAAAAGCGAGCACUUCUCUGUUUUUUGUACAGUGGAAAUUUUAGCUCAUUGUUUAAGAAUGAGGUUUUACUCUCAGUGAGAUUGAAGGAUUCAGGGUGGUCGACUUCAUCUCUCUGAUAAAAAGUGGAGCCUGUGAUUUAUCUUCUUAUUUGCCAACAGCUCCUUCUCCCUGUACAUAUAGAGAGGCCAAAUGCACUGAACUUUGCAACUUCUACCCUUUGUUUGGAUGUAAUGAUUGGAAGUUUUAGUAACUUAAUGAGGCUAUGACGAUAUUAUCAGUGACCUAAAAUCAGAUUAGAAAAGAAACACCCAUCCUUGGGCGGGGUAGGCUUUUGAAGCAGCGGCUUAAGUCCACUCGUGGUUCCUGAACUUAGACAGCCUUUGGCAGUCCUUAAAUAUGGGUUUUACCCUAUUUUCCUGAUAGCUAUUGGCUGCAGCCAUGAUGUGGUGGUGUUUCUUUCUUGUUUGAUACUGAGGCUAUCUGAUCUGGGCCUCCAUUUCUCUAAAUAUCUUUGUUUAGGUUCUGUUUGCUGCGAGGAGAUUUUUCCAGUGAAGGGUGAGGCUUAGCUCUUGGAGAGCUACUCUGAUUGAUUGCAGAGCUGACCCUUGUUUGUCAAUAGCUAUACCUUUCUUUCUAUCAUCUCUUUUUUUGUCUCGUGGGUCUUUGCAUGGCUGUGAUGAUGCUGUUAUUUUUUUAAUGAAAAUCGGAUAAUUGAAUGAACAUUAUCUAACGUUGGGUGGGUGACUCGGGAGCUUUUGAUUUUGAGCUCUUUUGUUGCAGCCAUGGUUGUCAUGUUCACUUUUCUGAUUGAAAAAGGUGACUCUGAGUCUCCUUUUAUAUGCUUAAAUCAAGGACUACUUUAGUUUUACAUUUUGUGAACAUUGUUGGUAUGUGAACAAGGUUUGUCAUAAUUUUUAUCUCUGAUUGAUUGCAAUGCUGAGUGAGAUAUUGCGUUGGAUUGGUUUUUAGAGCCAUGGUUUGCAAUUGUCAAUUUUAGUCUGUGGUUCAAGAGCUGUCAAUUCAUGUUUUAGAGAGACGAAAGGACAGCAAUAAAAAUCCAAGGGAUUCAUGCGGUCAAGUAAUGAGAAUUGCUGUAGCGGGUAUCGUUCUUUUGAUGCUUUUAAUGUAUCAAUCAACUAUCAAGUGAAUAGGAUGCAUUUUAUUGUGUCCGGUUCGAUUUAUUGUGUGAUGAUCCCAAAAGUGUAAUUUUGAGAUUGAGAAGUAAUUGAGAAGGCAGCUGCUUAAUUUUUUUAAUCUUUUAGUCAGAACUAAGAAAAAACGCUGCUCAUGGUUUAGUGUCUUGAUGUCAAACCAUUAUGUUAAAGUAUGUGCAAAAAAUUUGAUGCACUCUAAAGUG